rnacentral:rRNA from 1 species
CUACGGGUUGCUGCAGUCGAGAAUCUUCCGCAAUGGACGAAAGUCUGACGGAGCGACGCCGCGUGCGGGAUGAAGGCCUUCGGGUUGUAAACCGCUGUCAGUGGGGAGGAAAUGCAUCAGGGUUCUCCCUGGUGUUUGACCGAUCCGCAGAGGAAGCGCAGGCUAAGUUCGUGCCAGCAGCCGCGGUAACACGAACUGCGCGAACGUUAUUCGGAAUCACUGGGCUUAAAGAGUUCGUAGGCGGCCUUUCAAGUCGGGUGCGAAAUCCCUCGGCUCAACCGAGGAAUUGCGCCUGAUACUGGUGGGCUUGAGGGGGAUAGGGGUGAGCGGAGCUGAUGGUGGAGCGGUGAAAUGCGUUGAUAUCAUCAGGAACACCGGUGGCGAAGGCGGCUCACUGGAUCUCUUCUGACGCUGAGGAACGAAAGCUAGGGGAGCGAACGGGAUUAGAUACCCCCGUAGUC